CACAACACCUGAGAACUACAAACUAAAGUUUAAAACUCAAAGGACUUGGCGGUUUUUUAGACCUUCCUGGAGGAGCUUGCCAUCUAACCGAUAACCCACGAAAUACCUCACCAGCCUUUGAACAUACAACCUGUAUACCAUCGUCGUCAGUCUACCCCCCAAGGGAAGUAUACUUAAAGAAGAAAUUAUUCAUUACGUUAGAUCGAGGUGCAGUUAAUAGGCUGGGGAUGAGUGAGCUACAACACUAUACCAAAUCAAAAACACAACUGUGGACAAUCCCUUGAAAGAGGGACUUUAAACAGGAUUCAGCAGUAAUGUUUAACAGAAAAUAAACAUGAAGCCC
rnacentral:rRNA from 1 species